rnacentral:rRNA from 1 species
UACGGGGGGGGGCAAGCGUUGUCCGGAUUUAUUGGGCGUAAAGAGCGUGUAGGCGGCCUGACAGGUCUGCUGUGAAAACUCGAGGCUCAACCUCGAGAUGUCGGCGGAAACCGUCUGGCUAGAGUCCGGAAGAGGAGAGUGGAAUUCCUGGUGUAGCGGUGAAAUGCGCAGAUAUCAGGAAGAACACCUAUGGCGAAGGCAGCUCUCUGGGACGGUACUGACGCUGAGACGCGAAAGCGUGGGGAGCAAACAGG